rnacentral:lncRNA from 14 species
CAGUGCGGCUGCACCAGGAGCAGGCAGCGAGACCCCCAGCUCCCGGCUGGGACCCUGGGCUCCGGGAAUGGAGGGGGGAGCACAGGCUUGAUCCCCCCCCCCCCCCCCAGCUCAUCUGGAGCACAUGGAGAGCAGCGAGCGGUGCUUCCCCAUGGGAGAAAAGGGAAGUGGAAAGAGGUCCUUGGACACUGCUCCUCCGCCUGCCUGGAAAAGAGAAAUUCCUGCGAAAUCCUCCUUCUUACUGUCUCUCCCCUGGGCAGAUCCCUGCAUCUGGAUCUCCAAAAGCUGCCUGCUCCCGUGGCAUCGUGCCUGGUCCUCCUGCCUGCAAGAGGAGUAAAGCCCUGAGCACGUGUCCAUCUUCCCUCUGGGAUGCUGCCCAUGGUCUGAAGGAUGCUGCAGAGAAGGAGCCACCCCCCUGGCCAUGCAGAGCAGGUUUGAAAGUGCCAGUGGAAGGAAGCAACAAGGAUGCUGAAGGGGAGGCUCCGGCAGCCCUGCCUGCACAGCCAGCCCGGCCAGGCUGCACAUAACCCCUGUGUUUGUGGCACAGCAGAGAGGGACACCCCGGGGGACACCGGCUGCUGGCAGGAGAUGGGGAGCAGAGGGGUGCAGAGAUGCCAUCAGCUCCAGGAUGCUCCUGCCUCCGAGCCGGUCGAGGAGCAGGGAUGGAUGAGACCACAGGGAGGGAAACCCGAGGGGCUCAAUGGGGACACAAUGGGUCCCAUGUUGGAUGGCAGCAGCCUGGCCUUGGCGGCUGAACCUUCAGCCCCCCCAAAAUGCCCCAGCUCUGCCCCAGAGGUGCCCACUGCAGCAACCAGCCCCACAGCCAACCCCAGCCAGGAGUGGAAAGUGGUGAAGAUCCAACGGGUCCUCAUCCAGCCCGCCAGCGAGCCGAAGAAAGCGGGUCUGUCCCGCAGCGCCAGCCUCUCCGAGAA